GGGACACGUGGUAUCCUGUCUGAAUAUGGGGGGACCAUCCUCCAAGGCUAAAUACUCCUGACUGACCGAUAGUGAACCAGUACCGUGAGGGAAAGGCGAAAAGAACCCCGGCGAGGGGAGUGAAAAAGAACCUGAAACCGUGUACGUACAAGCAGUGGGAGCACCUUCGGGUGUGACUGCGUACCUUUUGUAUAAUGGGUCAGCGACUUAUAUUCUGUAGCAAGGUUAACCGUAUAGGGGAGCCGCAGGGAAACCGAGUCUUAACUGGGCGUUAAGUUGCAGGGUAUAGACCCGAAACCCGGUGAUCUAGCCAUGGGCAGGUUGAAGGUUGGGUAACACUAACUGGAGGACCGAACCGACUAAUGUUGAAAAAUUAGCGGAUGACUUGUGGCUGGGGGUGAAAGGCCAAUCAAACCGGGAGAUAGCUGGUUCUCCCCGAAAGCUAUUUAGGUAGCGCCUCGUGAACUCAUCUUCGGGGGUAGAGCACUGUUUCGGCUAGGGGGUCAUCCCGACUUACCAACCCGAUGCAAACUACGAAUACCGAAGAAUGUUAUCACGGGAGACACACGGCGGGUGCUAACGUCCGUCGUGAAGAGGGAAACAACCCAGACCGCCAGCUAAGGUCCCAAAGUCAUGGUUAAGUGGGAAACGAUGUGGGAAGGCACAGACAGCCAGGAUGUUGGCUUAGAAGCAGCCAUCAUUUAAAGAAAGCGUAAUAGCUCACUGGUCGAGUCGGCCUGCGCGGAAGAUGUAACGGGGCUAAACCAUGCACCGAAGCUGCGGCAGCGACACUAUGUGUUGUUGGGUAGGGGAGCGUUCUGUAAGCCUGCGAAGGUGACCUGUGAGGGUUGCUGGAGGUAUCAGAAGUGCGAAUGCUGACAUAAGUAACGAUAAAGCGGGUGAAAAGCCCGCUCGCCGGAAGACCAAGGGUUCCUGUCCAACGUUAAUCGGGGCAGGGUGAGUCGACCCCUAAGGCGAGGCCGAAAGGCGUAGUCGAUGGGAAACAGGUUAAUAUUCCUGUACUUGGUGUUACUGCGAAGGGGGGACGGAGAAGGCUAUGUUAGCCGGGCGACGGUUGUCCCGGUUUAAGCAUGUAGGCUGAUUAUCCAGGCAAAUCCGGAUAAUCAAGGCUGAGGUGUGAUGACGAGGCACUACGGUGCUGAAGUAACAAAUGCCCUGCUUCCAGGAAAAGCCUCUAAGCAUCAGGUAACAUCAAAUCGUACCCCAAACCGACACAGGUGGUCAGGUAGAGAAUACCAAGGCGCUUGAGAGAACUCGGGUGAAGGAACUAGGCAAAAUGGUGCCGUAACUUCGGGAGAAGGCACGCUGGUGUGUAGGUGAAGUCCCUGCGGAUGGAGCUGAGACCAGUCGAAGAUACCAGCUGGCUGCAACUGUUUAUUAAAAACACAGCACUGUGCAAACACGAAAGUGGACGUAUACGGUGUGACGCCUGCCCGGUGCCGGAAGGUUAAUUGAUGGGGUUAUCCGUAAGGAGAAGCUCUUGAUCGAAGCCCCGGUAAACGGCGGCCGUAACUAUAACGGUCCUAAGGUAGCGAAAUUCCUUGUCGGGUAAGUUCCGACCUGCACGAAUGGCGUAAUGAUGGCCAGGCUGUCUCCACCCGAGACUCAGUGAAAUUGAACUCGCUGUGAAGAUGCAGUGUACCCGCGGCAAGACGGAAAGACCCCGUGAACCUUUACUAUAGCUUGACACUGAACAUUGAGCCUUGAUGUGUAGGAUAGGUGGGAGGCUUUGAAGCGUGGACGCCAGUCUGCGUGGAGCCAACCUUGAAAUACCACCCUUUAAUGUUU
rnacentral:rRNA from 1 species